UGGGCAGGUUUCCCCAGAGCACGGUCGGC
rnacentral:piRNA from 1 species